GACGAACCGUGCGAACGUUAUUCGGAAUCACUGGGCUUAAAGCGCGUGUAGGCGGAUGGGGACGUCGGUCGCUGAAAUCCCCCGGCUCAACCGGGGAACGGGCGCCGAAACGCCCCGUCUGGAGGGACGUAGGGGGACCUGGAACUUCCGGUGGAGCGGUGAAAUGCGUUGAGAUCGGAAGGAACGCCCGUGGCGAAAGCGAGGUCCUGGACGUCUGCUGACGCUGAGACGCGAAAGCUAGGGUAGCGAACGGG
rnacentral:rRNA from 1 species